GUCCCACCGCCAUCUUCAAAGGCCACAUCACUCAGCCUUGCUGACUGUUUAUCGCUGGAGCACUCAGCACUAGCUGGGUGGUGCUUCUCUCCCCCGGGCCCCCACCCCGAUCAGCUCACCCUGGGCAGGGAUCCACGGGCCCGGAGGCCUAAUGGUGCCAAGACAAGGCACCCCCGCCCUCAGACUCUCAGCGUCAUGCAAGACACUCGGGGUGAAUGGUCUUGUACACGGGGAGCCUAGCUCUACAUGUCCCGCUCAUCCAAAUAACAGUCGACUGCAAUGAGUAAGAAUCUUCCGGAAAAGGCCUCCAUUCCACAGAGGCUAAUGAGCUAUAAAUGGAGCAUUCCUCAGGCGUCAUGUGGCCCUUUGCCAGCAGCUGUGGGCAGCCCAGGGCAAGUUCACAAACGCAACGUUUUCCAAACGUGCCUCUCCUCAGACACACCUGAGACACUCACUGAAACUCGACUCCCGGCUCCUCCCUGGGGAAGCAGCCGAAGAAGGUCUCGUCUAUUACCUCCUGUGGUUCUUUCGGCGCAUGCAGCAACAUGCCAGGCGCUUUGCAGAGGAAAACCAAACCAUGGCUGUUCCUCCCCUUCUCUCCGGAGGCUCCCAGAAGGAUGCUUCCCCCAGCGCCUCGGCAGCAAGCACAGCCGCCUCCUCCAUCUGGGCCAUGGCCAUGCUGCCCACAGAGGGGAAGGAACACGCCGACGUUUCCAGAGAUCGCGGCAAAUCGAAUGGAUCUUUGUCCAGCGCCGGCUGCGAGGGGGCUUCCGGCAGAUGCAAUCGCAACCGUUAAGUGUCCUGAUUAUAUAAUCCGCAUCCACUGAGCUUCACUGUAGUUUUCCAAGGAGGAGAAGAAUAAAGUCAGACUCCAACGGG